rnacentral:rRNA from 1 species
UACGGGGGGAGCAAGCGUUGUUCGGAAUUACUGGGCGUAAAGCGUGCGCAGGCGGUUCUCCAAGUCCGUUGUGAAAGCCCCGGGCUCAACCUGGGAAUGGCAGUGGAAACUAGGGGACUGGAAUCUGGCAGAGGGGGGUGGAAUGCCGCGUGUAGCAGUGAAAUGCGUAGAGAUGCGGCGGAACACCGAUGGCGAAGGCAGCCCCCUGGGCUGAGAUUGACGCUCAGGCACGAAAGCGUGGGGAGCAAACAGG